AACUGAUGGCGGGUGCCUAACACAUGCAAUCGAACGCGAAAGUUUCUUCGGAAAUGAGUAGAGUGGCGCACGGGUGAGUAACGCGUGGAUUAUCUACCUACUGGUACGGGACAACAGUUGGAAACGACUGCUAAUACCGUAUACGCUGGUAACGGGAAAGGGGGCCUCUUCUUGAAAGCUCUCGCCAGUAGAUGAGUCCGCGUUUCAUUAGCUAGACGGUGGGGUAACGGCCUACCGUGGCAACGAUGAAUAGCAGGCCUGAGAGGGUGGCCUGCCACACUGGGACUGGAACACGGCCCAGACUCCUACGGGAGGCAGCAGUGGGGAAUAUUGCGCAAUGGACGAAAGUCUGACGCAGCGACGCCGCGUGGAGGAUGAAGGUUUUCGGAUCGUAAACUCCUGUCAAGAGGGAAGAAACCUAUCAUGAAUAAUACUUAUGGUAAUUGACGGUACCUCUAGAGGAAGCACCGGCUAAUUCAGUGCCAGCAGCCGCGGUAAUACUGAAGGUGCAAGCGUUAAUCGGAAUCACUGGGCGUAAAGCGCUCGUAGGUGGCUUUGUAAGUCAGGUGUGAAAGCCCACGGCUCAACCGUGGAAUUGCACUUGAUACUGCAUCGCUAGAGUAUAGGAGAGGGAAGUGGAAUUUUCUGGUGUAGGAGUGACAUCCGUAGAGAUCAGAAGGAACACCCGUGGCGAAGGCGACUUCCUGGACUAUUACUGACACUGAGGAGCGACCAGCGUGGGGGAGCAUACAGGAUUAUAUACCCUGGUAAUCCGCGCCGUCAUGCUGAUGGGUACUAGGUGUUGAAAAGAUCGAACCUUUCCCCCUGUAGCUAAACGCGACUGUCUACGCCGACUGGUGCAAUACUGGUCGCCGGGACCAUGCUGAAAAAACUCCACGAAGAUACUAUGCC
rnacentral:rRNA from 1 species